GGUUUUUAGUAAGUGUUAAAAAUUAGACCUGCUCAAUGAAAAUUAAAUAGCCGCAGUAUUGUGACUGUGCAAAGGUAGCAUAGUAAUUUGUCUUUUAAUUUAGGACUGGAAUGAACGGUUAGACCGAGUGGUUUUGUCUUUGGGUUAUAUUUUGAAUUUUAUAUUUUAGUAAAAAAGCUAAAAUUUAUUUCAGGGACGAGAAGACCCUGUCAAACUUUACAAGCUGAUCUUUCUCUCUUUAGAUGGAAUAAGUUUGUUUUACUGGGGCAGUAGGUAAUAAAAUUUUACUUGAUUAUUGUGGAUCUUCUUCUUGGAAAAUCAGGAAUUUCCUAAGGAAAAAUAAGUUACUGCAGGGAUAACAGCGUAAUUCUUUUUUAGAGUCCCUAUCGAUAUAAGAGUUUGCGACCUCGAUGUUGGAUUAAAAUACCUUUAUCCCGCAAUAGGGAUAGAAGGAAGUCUGUUCGACUUUUAAAAUUUUCCA
rnacentral:rRNA from 1 species